UCGCGAAAACUUCACAAUGGGGGCAACCCCGAUGAGGGAAUUCCUAGUGCUAGCACAUUUGUGUUAGCUUUUCUUUAGCUUAGAAAACUAGAGGAAUAAGGGCUGGGUAAGACGGGUGCCAGCCGCCGCGGUAAUACCUGCAGCCCAAGUGGUGGUCGAUUUUAUUGAGUCUAAAACGUUCGUAGCCGGUUCGGUAAAUCUUUGGGUAAAUCGGGGGGCUUAACCUUCCGACUUCCGAGGAGACUGCCGAACUUGGGAUCGGGAGAGGCUAGAGGUACUUCUGGGGUAGGGGUAAAACCCUGUAAUCCUAGAAGGACCACCGGUGGCGAAGGCGUCUAGCUAGAACGGAUCCGACGGUGAGGGACGAAGCCCUGGGUCGCAAACGGGACUAGAUACCCCGGUAGUCCAGGGUGUAAACGCUGCAGACUUGGUGUUGGAGGCCCUUUGGGGGCAUUCAGUGCCGGAGAGAAGUUGUUAAGUCUGCUACUUGGGGAGUACGUCCGCAAGGAUGAAACUUAAAGGAAUUGGCGGGGGAGCACCGCAACGGGAGGAGCGUGCGGUUUAAUUGGAUUCAACACCGUAAAACUCACCAGGGAAGACUGUUACAUGAAGGCCGGGCUAAAGACUCUGCCAGAUUUUCA
rnacentral:rRNA from 1 species